ACUACUAUAUGAAUAAAAUUGAAAGUACUUUACCCGAGUUACUGAACAUGCUGGUAACAGCAGAGAGCAUCUUGAAGAGUUUAAGGGGUAUAAUUCUGACUGUAGAGCGGGCUUUCUCCAAAAGAAAGUCUUCUUUCAAGAAGAAGAAGAAGCCUACAAAGAAGCAAAAGAACGAGGCCAAGCCCAAAAAGCAGGUUCCAAAGAAGACCGACGAUAAGAAAAAAUAUUUUUAUUGCAACAUCGAAGGCCACUAGAGGAGAAACUAUCCGGUCUACUUGGUGACUGUCA
rnacentral:lncRNA from 1 species